rnacentral:rRNA from 1 species
GAGAGUUUGAUCCUGGCUCAGGACGAACGCUGGCGGCACGCUUAACACAUGCAAGUCGAACGAGAGAAGAGGAGCUUGCUUUUCUGAUCUAGUGGCGGACGGGUGAGUAACACGUGAGCAAUCUGCCUUUCAGAGGGGGAUACCGAUUGGAAACGAUCGUUAAUACCGCAUAACAUAAUUGAACCGCAUGAUUUGAUUAUCAAAGAUUUAUCGCUGAAAGAUGAGCUCGCGUCUGAUUAGCUAGUUGGUAAGGUAACGGCUUACCAAGGCGACGAUCAGUAGCCGGACUGAGAGGUUGAUCGGCCACAUUGGGACUGAGACACGGCCCAGACUCCUACGGGAGGCAGCAGUGGGGAAUAUUGCACAAUGGAGGAAACUCUGAUGCAGCGAUGCCGCGUGAGGGAAGAAGGUUUUAGGAUUGUAAACCUCUGUCUUCAGGGACGAAAAAAGACGGUACCUGAGGAGGAAGCUCCGGCUAACUACGUGCCAGCAGCCGCGGUAAUACGUAGGGAGCGAGCGUUGUCCGGAAUUACUGGGUGUAAAGGGAGCGUAGGCGGGAUCGCAAGUCAGAUGUGAAAACUAUGGGCUUAACCCAUAAACUGCAUUUGAAGCUGUGGUUCUUGAGUGAAGUAGAGGUAAGCGGAAUUCCUAGUGUAGCGGUGAAAUGCGUAGAUAUUAGGAGGAACAUCAGUGGCGAAGGCGGCUUACUGGGCUUUAACUGACGCUGAGGCUCGAAAGCGUGGGGAGCAAACAGGAUUAGAUACCCUGGUAGUCCACGCCGUAAACGAUGAUUACUAGGUGUGGGGGGACUGACCCCUUCCGUGCCGCAGCAAACGCAAUAAGUAAUCCACCUGGGGAGUACGACCGCAAGGUUGAAACUCAAAGGAAUUGACGGGGGCCCGCACAAGCAGUGGAGUAUGUGGAUUAAUUCGAAGCAACGCGAAGAACCUUACCAGGUCUUGACAUCGUAUGCAUAGCUCAGAGAUGAGUGAAAUCUCUUCGGAGACAUAUAGACAGGUGGUGCAUGGUUGUCGUCAGCUCGUGUCGUGAGAUGUUGGGUUAAGUCCCGCAACGAGCGCAACCCUUACUGUUAGUUGCUACGCAAGAGCACUCUAGCAGGACUGCCGUUGACAAAACGGAGGAAGGUGGGGAUGACGUCAAAUCAUCAUGCCCCUUAUGACCUGGGCCUCACACGUACUACAAUGGCUGUAAACAGAGGGAUGCAAAGCCGCGAGGUGGAGCGAACCCCUAAAAGCAGUCUUAGUUCGGAUUGUAGGCUGCAACCCGCCUACAUGAAGUCGGAAUUGCUAGUAAUCGCAGAUCAGCAUGCUGCGGUGAAUACGUUCCCGGGCCUUGUACACACCGCCCGUCACGCCAUGGGAGUCGGUAACACCCGAAGCCUGUAGUCUAACCGCAAGGAGGACGCAGUCGAAGGUGGGAUUGAUGACUGGGGUGAAGUCGUAACAAGGUAGCCG